rnacentral:rRNA from 1 species
AAGGGUGAAAUUGGAUUAUUUUUAUUUUAAUUGUAGUUGGAAUUGAAGUUAAGAAUUUUUAGGCUUAAACUAGGAUUAGAUACCCUAUUAUACUAAAAAGGUGAAUAAAAUGAGCCGGAUUAUUAAAAGAUAUGUUCUCUAAAUUUGAAGAAUUUGGCGGUGAUUUAGUCUUGUCAGAGGAACCUGUUUUUGAAUCGAUACACCACGUAGGAUCUUACUCAAGCUUAUAUACCAUCAUUAACGGAUAAUUUUUAAAGAAAUAAUUAUUGUAAUUUAUAAGUUUAAAUAAAAUUAGAUCAAGGUGUAGCUUAUGAGUGAGUUAAAAUGGGUUACAAUAAAAUUUAUUUAUAACGUAAGGAUCGAGGAAUCUAAAGGAGGAUUUGAUUGUAUUUGAGUUUAAUACGCUUAAGAGAUAUAAGCUCUAAAUCAUGUACAUAUCGCCCGUCGCUUUC